AACGAACGCUGGCGGCAUGCCUAACACAUGCAAGUCGAACGAGACCUCCGGGUCUUUGCGCGCACGACUUCAUAAGCCGUGGGAACCUUCCCUUGGGUUCGGAAUAACUCUCCGAAAGGGAUACUAAUACCAGAUCAGAUCUUCUAACCAAAGAUUUAUUGCCUUUGGAUGGGCCCUCGUUGGAUUAGAUAGUUGGUAGGGUAAAAGCAUACCAAGGCGACGAUCCAUAGCUGGUAUGAGAGAAUGAUCAGCCACACUGGGACUGAGACACGGCCGAGACUCCUACGCGAGGCAGCAGUGGGGAAUAUUGGAAAAUGGGGGAAAGGAUGAUCCAGCAAGGACGGGUGAGUGAUGAAGGCAUUAGGGUUGUAAAGCUCUUUUAACCGGGAUGAUAAUGACAGUACCGGGAGAAUAAGCUCCGGCUAACUACGUG
rnacentral:rRNA from 1 species